rnacentral:rRNA from 1 species
GACGAACGCUGGCGGCGUGCUUAACACAUGCAAGUCGAGCGGUAAGGCCCUUUCGGGGUACGACGAGCGGCGAACGGGUAGGAGUAACAACGUGGGUGGACCUCGCCCUUACGUCUCUGGGAGUAAAGACCUCGGGAAACGUAGGGUCGUAAUAACCGGACGUAUGACUCCAUGACGCAUGUUGUGGGGUGGGAAAGACCUUGUGCGGCUAGGAGUGGGCCCGGCCGGCCUAUCAGCUUGUUGGUGGGGUGGAUGGCCUACCAAGGCGACGAC